rnacentral:lncRNA from 1 species
GUGGAUUUCUGCUGCUGGCGACCCUGUGUCCUGCAGAGCGGAGCACUGUCUGUUUUUUUUGCACCAUCCUCUCACCUUGCAGCGGUGCUAUAUCAGACAAUGCUCUGCUGCUCUUCAUAGGGUGUUCACUACCGAGGUUUUUAGAAGUGGGUGGCCAGGGCCUUCUUCAUAGUCUGUCUUAGUCUGGAAGCUCUGCUGACGAUUGUUCACCAAGGAUGAUCCUGCUGGUAUAUGAAAUACCGGCAGCAUAGCUUUUAGCAUCACAGCAGCACACAACAUCCACAGUGUGACAACCGACAGGUGGUGUGGUUCCCUGACUGGGAAAGGAACCCAGGUAUGGGCGGUGAGAGUGCGAAAUCUUAACCACUAGACCAGCAGGGCUGGCUGAAUGGCCCUGGACAAAUCAUGGAGCCCCUCUGCCACCCUGCUGUCUCCUCUGCACCUGCCUGGGGCUGGGGGCCCCAUGGGGCCGUGUUUAAGCCCUGCCCUGUGCUGAGCCGAAGCCUCCGCAGGUGACUCUGUGACCAGCAACCACCCCGUGGAACUGGGCCAGAGCCACUGCCAGACACCUGGCAGAACCACUGAUCAGAUGUCCCGAGGAUGAGCAUCCCCAUCAACCUCCUGUGUUUGAGUCUUGGGGAGGCCAAUCUUUUCCUCAGGUCCCAGGUCUCAUCAAAAGAGAGUCGGUGAUGUCAAUAAUGAAUCUCAGGACGUGUGCACAUGGCUCCCCAAGGAUAGAGCACAACCGGGAGCCUGCAGGCAUGCUCUGGGCCUGCGGCACACCUCACAGCGUCUGAAGAGGCCCAUGGCUCAAAGAUGGGAUGGGGUGUAAGGUAGAGGCUCCUCCUUCCUAAACUUGCACUGAUCUCAGCCCUUAUAACAAAGCCCUCAGGAAAUGAAUCCAGAUCCCAACCUCUCCCCAGAUGGAAGUUCAGAUAGGGGCAGGAUCCUGCUUGACUUGAUUCCCUGGCUUUGUGAUGUCAUUAAAGACCCAUAUUCUUUUCAUAUCUCCACACUGCCACAAUUUCCCCUGGGUCUGUCACACUUCUGCACAUCUUGCAAGCAGAGGCACUGACAGCUUUUGCUCCAGACCAUCUUUUCAAGGAUGCCCUGUUAGGGGCCUGGGGAGCCCAGCCAACUCAGCCUCACUUCCACACCCUGUCACCUGUUUUUCCAGCUGUCAUCACCUGGUGGCCCCAGAGUCUUCUUGGGGACCAGAUGAGGAGCAAGCUGUAGCCCGCCCUCAGCAGCCCCCUCACCAGGACAUGCCCUGUACCACCUUGGACGUCCUUGUCGUGGGUGAAGACAGGCAGCCCUGGCAUUGGGGCAGGCUCUGGAUGCUAAGCGCCUCCUGGAGCCCACCCAAGCUCCCUCCCCAGCAACUCCCUGUGGGCAAAGGGGUCUUGCUUUUCAUCUGUUACACAAUGGUAUCCUAUCACGGUGGAUGGUGAAACUCAGCAAUUCUAUGUGUGUGGCUCAACAGCUUCUAAAACUACUUACUUAAAGUAACAAUACUCUCCACUGUGCAUUGUAAAUGAAGACCUGAAAUGAAUGUAGUACCAUUGCAUUUAAUUGGAAGAUUUAGUCAGGCAGGCAAGAAAAUCCCCUAACCAGAAAUAGCGACAUGUGGGCUAGUGUUCUAGCCACUAGUAAUUGCUUAAUGGGACAGAGAAUCCCGGUGAAAAGCCCACAAGACAGUCUUACUAUUAGUGUAAACCAAAUUCAAAUCUUUGGUUUGCUUGCUUGGGUAUUAUGUGCACUUAUGAGAUUAGAUUAAUAAUAGCCCAAACGGGUUCUGUUAUGGCAAGUACCUUCUUAAUGUUUCAUGGCUUUAACCAUAUUAUUUGAGC